rnacentral:rRNA from 1 species
UACGUAGGUGGCAAGCGUUGUCCGGAAUUAUUGGGCGUAAAGCGCGCGCAGGCGGUCUUUUAAGUCUGAUGUGAAAGCCCACGGCUCAACCGUGGAGGGUCAUUGGAAACUGGGGGACUUGAGUGCAGAAGAGAAGAGUGGAAUUCCACGUGUAGCGGUGAAAUGCGUAGAGAUGUGGAGGAACACCAGUGGCGAAGGCGACUCUUUGGUCUGUAACUGACGCUGAGGCGCGAAAGCGUGGGGAGCAAACAGG